AAAUCCGUCGAAUUUUUAAAUUUGUGAGGGUUCAAGUCCCUCUAUCCCCA
rnacentral:tRNA from 2 species